AUCAGACAUUUUGUAAUUAUGCCUGAAAUAAACACUGACCACCCCGACGAGCAACAGGUUCAACUCCUGGCAGAGAUGUGUAUCCUUAUUAAUGAAAAUGACAAUAAAAUUGGGGCUGUGACCAAGAAGAAUUGUCAUUUGAAUGAGAAUAUUGAGAAAGGAUUAUUGCAUCGAGCUUUGAGUGUCUUCUUAUUCAACAACACUGAAAAUAAGCUUCUGCUACAGCAAAGAUCAGAUGCUAAGAUUACCUUUCCAUGUUGUUUUACUAAUACUUGUUGUAAUCAUCCAUUAAGUAAUCCGGUGAGCUAGAGGAAAAUGGUGCCCUUGGAGUGAGGCAAGGAGCACAGAGGUGGUUGAAAGCUGAGCUAGGAAUUCCCUUGGCAGAGGUUACUCCAGAAGAAAUUAAUUAUUUAACACGAAUUCACUACAAAGCUCAGCAGGAUAGUAUCUGGGGUGAGCACGAAAUUGAUUAUAUUUUGUUUCUGAGGAAGAAUGUAACUUUGAAUCCAGAUCCCAAGGAGAUUAAAAGCUAUUGUUAGGUGUCAAAGGAAGAACUAAAAGCACUUUGGGAAAAAAGCAGCUAAUGGUGAAAUUAAGAUAAUGCCAUGGUUUUAAAUUAUUGCAGAGACUUUUCUCAUUAAAUGGUGGGAUAACUUAAAUCAUUUGAAUCAGUUUGUUGACCAUGAGAAAAUAUACAGAAUGUGAAUAUGUAGGUAAAUGAUCACUGAAAAAUUUCUCUACUUAACAAACUUAGAAUGACUUUUUUAGUUUAAAGUUAGUUC